rnacentral:rRNA from 1 species
UACGGAGGACGCGAGCGUUAUCCGGAUUCAUUGGGUUUAAAGGGUGCGCAGGCGGUGCGUUAAGUCAGCGGUGAAAGCCCGUGGCCCAACCACGGAAGUGCCGAUGAUACUGGCGCGCUGGAAUGCGGUCGGGGCGGGCGGAACGUGGCGUGUAGCGGUGAAAUGCGUAGAUAUGCCACAGAACGCCGUUCGCGGAGGCGGCUCGCCAGGCCUGCAUUGACGCUCGGGCACGAAAGCGUGGGGAU